rnacentral:rRNA from 1 species
GGGGGAUAUUGCACAAUGGACGGAAGUCUGAUGCAGCGACGCCGCGUGGGGGAUGAAGGCUUUCGGGUUGUAAACCUCUUUUAUUCCUGAACAAGGCUUGGAUUGUUGUCUGGGUUGAGGGUAGGGGGUGAAUAAGCGCCGGCUAACUACGUGCCAGCAGCCGCGGUAAUACGUAGGGCGCGAGCGUUGUCCGGAUUUAUUGGGCGUAAAGAGCUCGUAGGCGGUUUGUUGCGUCUGCUGUGAAAACGCGGGGCUUAACUUCGCGCGUGCAGUGGGUACGGGCAGGCUAGAGUGCGGUAGGGGAGAUUGGAAUUCCUGGUGUAGCGGUGGAAUGCGCAGAUAUCAGGAGGAACACCGAUGGCGAAGGCAGGUCUCUGGGCCGUUACUGACGCUGAGGAGCGAAAGCGUGGGGAGCGAACA